rnacentral:rRNA from 1 species
UGGGGAAUAUUGGACAAUGGGGGCAACCCUGAUCCAGCAAUGCCGCGUGUGUGAAGAAGGUCUUCGGAUUGUAAAGCACUUUCGACGGGGACGAUGAUGACGGUACCCGUAGAAGAAGCCCCGGCUAACUUCGUGCCAGCAGCCGCGGUAAUACGAAGGGGGCUAGCGUUGCUCGGAAUGACUGGGCGUAAAGGGCGUGUAGGCGGUUUACACAGUCAGAUGUGAAAUCCCCGGGCUUAACCUGGGAGCUGCAUUUGAUACGUGUAGACUAGAGUGUGAGAGAGGGUUGUGGAAUUCCCAGUGUAGAGGUGAAAUUCGUAGAUAUUGGGAAGAACACCGGUGGCGAAGGCGGCAACCUGGCUCAUGACUGACGCUGAGGCGCGAAAAGCGUGGGGAGCAAACAGGAUUAGAUACCCUGGUAGUCCACGCUGUAAAACGAUGUGUGCUAGAUGUUGGGUAACUUUGUUAUUCAGUGUCGCAGUUAACGCGUUAAAGCACACCGCCUGGGGAGUACGGGCCGCAAGGUU